CUGGCUUCCUUGCUCCUCCGCUUGCAGACAGCCUAUUGUGAGACCUUCUGAUCAUGACUGUAGAGAAAGGAACAGCUACAUCUGCCUAGAGAAAUCCAUACAGAAGAGGGAAAUGCUUGUGCUGAGGCUUGAAAGAGGAGGAAACACUGGCUCCAUGAAGCCUUCAUCGACCCUCAAGGAUUGUCUUGAUUCAAUCCAGUUCAGCAUUUAUUGACAUCUUAUAUUUUUGGUGCUGCGUCAACCCUAUGGGAAAUAUAAGAGAAGGAAAACCCUGUCUCAGCCCUCUGAGAGUGUGUUCUCCAAGGCUUGUGUUGACAUGGUCUACAUGCACUCACUCAUUGAAGUGCUUUGGAAACAGGUUGAUGAUUAUCCUCCAGCCUUUAAAAGCCAUCCAAAUUGACAGUUGCUCAGCCUCAUUUCAAUUAGGAGGUAGUGAAAAUGUGACAAAAUAUAUUAGGCAUGGAAAUUAAAGUGUCUGAUGGUGUAAUACAAAUCCUUUCUUAUGACAAACACAAUCCCCAGGAGUGGUACCACAGCUGAUUCAUUUUUCAUAUGUUUUAGGAAAAGCACAAUUUUUCGAAAAUCUUAAAUUGGCUAUUAUAGGAAUACAUGCCUAAGGGAGACAUAAAUGUAGAUUUUCCUGGCACUAAUAUUUCCUGUGCUCUAGGGAUAAGAAAUCCACAAGAUAUAACUUUAAAAACCUGCUAUGUUGCCUGAAGUUUCUCCAUACCUUCUAUUGCUUAAUUGCUUUUAUUUUAUUGGCUGGUUAAAGAAGAGAAAUGCUAACCUAGUUAUUGGUUUGACUCAGCAGUCUCUCAUGUCUGAAAAAAAAAGCGAUAUGAGUGGGAAGAGCCUUGAAACAAAUUUGUAGUGAGACUCACUGUUCCUCUCUAUCUUGAGGAAUAGAAAUCAGAUUUCAUAGAGUACUUGUAUUUUUACACCUAAAAAAGUCUUCUGAAAUAGAAGGAAAAAGAUCAUGCCAUCUCAGUCAAGGUCAAGAGAGUUUACAUUGGGUCUGCAGGUACCAAGAUGGGAGUAAUGAUAAGACUGAGGACUUCUUGUCACUGGCUCAAAGCACCAAACUCAAUCCUUCUUACUUCAGACACACAAGAAACCAGGAAGGCUUUCACAGCAAUACUUGCCAUUCAGGUUGUUCAAAAUGACUUCCAGAAUGCCCAGCAUUAUUAGGAGAAAGGUACUACCUAAUGAACUUCAUGCUAAACACUCUAUUGAAUCCCAUUUUGUUUCUUCCUGCCACAGUUCCAGGAACCAAACUGAGUCAAAAAGAGAAUACUGAACUAUUUACCAAGUCACAUGACUAAACUAAACUUUAAUGCUAACUGUAAAAACAAGAGGCCUAAUCUCUUGGAUGUGUAUGUUUGGUUUUUGUCUUGCUUUUUUGUUUGUUUGUUUUUGGUUGUUUUGCUUUGGAUUUUUUUGUUUUAUUUUCAUAGUGGUAAUUUCGGCAUUUGCCAAGUGACUAAUACUCUUCGGUAACAUCAGUUUAUGCGGACCCAGGAUCUCUCCUUUCAGAGCAAGUAUGUUCAUGAUUGUUCAGGUAUUUCUGCAGGAUUAGCUGGCCCAGUCGCUUAAAGUUCUGUAUGGUCUACAAAAUACUUUCUCAUUUGUUAUUUCAUAUGAGUCUUGAAAGUGACCUGUGAGAUAGACUGAAAUGUUUGAUUAUUCACAGUUCACAGAUAGGGGCAGCAGACCCAGAGAGCCUAAUUUAGAUUCAGUUAUACUAAUUUAAACCCUAGUAAGUAGUAGAGCUGAGAUUUAAAACUAAGUUUCCCCUCUCCAAGUUCUGAAUUGUUCCCAUGGUACAAGAGGUCGUGUGUGGUGAAAGAAAUCAGGGCUGGGUAUGAGGCCUCUCUGCCAAUGGUUGCCUGCCUGGCUUGGUUGUUUUGCCAGAGAUAAGACCUGACAGAGACAUCAGUGCAUCGGGCAGGAUGAUGACCAGCUUCCCCUUCAAAUGGAUAGGUUUUAGAUACUUAUCUUUAUUUAGUGAGAAUUGGAGAGACUGACUUUCUAAUAACAAAAAUUCCACAUUCCUUUGUUUUGAACAGUAUGUCCACCUUCUUGUCCUAUGACUCCAGUUUCCCCAAGUCAAAAACAUUAAUGACCCUUGUAGACUCAUAUAUUUGGUGAAGACUUUAACAAAAUCUACUGCUUCCAGAAGUAUGGAGGAUGAUCACACUGCAAAUACCCUGCUUCUCAUUGGUCACUUUGAUUUUUCUCUUUUAUUUCCUCUUCUUUGGCAAUCUUGAUUCAAUCCAAUUCAGCGUUUAUUGACAUUAUAUAUUUUUCGGCACUGCAUUGGCCCCGUGGGAGACACAAGAGAAGAAAACCCUGAACCAGCCCUCCCACACAGCCUGCAACUUGAGAAGCCCCUUUGAAUAGACCCCUUGCCCAAGUCUCUCUCUCUCUCUCUCUCUUUCCCCCCCCCCCCCUUCCCUUUUCUCUUUCAGGCCUCAACCUUCCCAACUCUGACACCGUAUUCUCAGGUCUUACACCUCCUGAAAUCUCUCUCCCUUUCUUGGCAGAGCAACUUAAUCUUACCUCAGCCUCUCUCUCUAAGCUUGGAAUCUCCUUCGCAGAAUGAUAUAAACCUUCAGCUAUGUCAAAGACCAUUUUCCUGAGAAUAUCAAUUUUGUUGAACUCAACAAAUCAAAGAACCAACGCUCAGUACCAGACUCUAUCUUCCUUAAAAGGCAGUGAGGAAAUUGUUAAAAUAUACGUGUAAACUUCUUUCUGUUGUAUGGUUAAAUUCACGUAAGAGAGUAAUACAUGUGCUGAGCAGAAGGGGACCAAUUUACACUUUACCAGUUAUGUAAGCAACCAUGCAAUAAAAUUAUUUUAAGUUAACAAACACCACAUUCCUGAUUAAUUGCAAAAUGUCUUAAGUCUCUUUUAAACGAUUC
rnacentral:lncRNA from 1 species